UCUCAGAGUCUGAUCAUAGAUUGAAAGUGAUUCACUUAGAAAAUGUAAUUUUGUAAAUGUAAAACUUAGAAGGUUUCGCACUGUAGAAAAGCAGAGUGUUUGGAUUUAGUGUUUAUUGUGCGAUGUGUGGAUGAGAGUGUGGGACUAAGACCUGAGAGACAUGGAUUCAAAUCCUCAGUUACUAAGAUGGUCCCUGGGUGAUCUUGCAUCUAAGAUGAUCUUGCAUCAAUCAAUCUCUCUGGAUAAAAUGGAGGAUGGAAGAGAAUCAUGUGUACCAUCCUGAGCAUCCUGGAGAAAAGAAAUAGAUGCUGCUUGUCCUGGGACCCACAAAAGUGAUUAAAGGUACACCUUUGUAAAGCAUGAGAGGCAGCACUAGGCCAUUCGUCUGCGCAGGUGACGAGAGGCACUUCAGGAGAUGGCCUUGAUACAUAAUGUGUUGUAGAUCACUCUGGAAAUCAGAAGAAAUGGCAGAUGCAGGAGGGAAAAAGGCGUUCUUGGAAUCCAGUUCAAUAUAUCAAAGAGAAAGAGUGGCCUGUCGUUCCAUGUCUUGUGCAUGUCUCUUCUUUGCUGUGGAAAGUUUAGAUCUUCAUCUACAAGUGUGUCAAUAAAGGAUGCUGCUGCUGCUGCUGCUGCUGCUGCUGCUGCUGCUGCUGCUGCUGCUGCUGCUGCUGAUGAUGAUGAUGAUGAUGAUGAUGAUGAUGAUGAUGAUGAGAAAAUUGCUGCUCUGGAAGAUGGACUCCAUGGAAUCAGAUCCUUGCUAACUUUCCCCUCCCCCAUUCAAACCCCACUCUUUCCAGAUACUGCCCAAAUCUUCAACAAUUCCCCAAGCCAGAGUUGGCAACCAAACCACUUUGUGAUGGAACAGUGUAUGUAUUCCCCAGAUUUAGCCCUAACUGUCUACAUAAUCUUUGAUUCAAAGAUUAGGCUGCCGCUGUGCCACAUGUAUACCAGAACAUCUGUGUGCCAGAAAAAUCACUUUUUAGUUGCUUUUUCUAUAUGCCAAUAAAGGCUUGUGUUAUGUUA